rnacentral:rRNA from 1 species
UGCCAGCAGCCGCGGUAAUACGUAGGGUGCGAGCGUUAAUCGGAAUUACUGGGCGUAAAGCGUGCGCAGGCGGUUGUGCAAGACAGGCGUGAAAUCCCCGGGCUUAACCUGGGAAUGGCGCUUGUGACUGCACGGCUGGAGUGCGGCAGAGGGGGAUGGAAUUCCGCGUGUAGCAGUGAAAUGCGUAGAUAUGCGGAGGAACACCGAUGGCGAAGGCAGUCCCCUGGGCCUGCACUGACGCUCAUGCACGAAAGCGUGGGGAGCAAACAGGAUUAGAUA